rnacentral:lncRNA from 1 species
GAAACUCCAUAUUUGACAGAUGAAGAAAUUGUGACUGAAUAAGAGGACCUGGAUCAGUACCCUGUGGGAGACCUAUAUUGUUAGUGGGUGUGAUCUGAAUAAGGAUCUGACAAAGGAGACUGAGAGGGAGCAAACAGGUGUUCCCUGCACUGAUUCUCUAACACAUUUAUGGAUGAAGUCCUGUGCAUAAGGAGAGAACUUAUUAUUGAAUUAAUCAGCAGAUCAUCAGCUCUCCUUCCUUUGCAGUUCUCCACCCCAGCCAUAGCCCUAGAGAGCCAUAGCUUCAUGACCCCUGAAAAAUGAUAUUUAACAAGGGAGGAAUAUAAAAGUCCUACAUGAAUGUGAAGAGUCAACUAAAUCAACUAAAAAAAUGAAGGAUCCAGGAAGCCUACCUAGACAACAAUUGGUAUGAAAAAGAGCUGGGGAUUUUAGAGGACCACAAACUUAAUAAAUUUCCAUACUGUGACA